rnacentral:rRNA from 1 species
GACGAACGCUGGCGGCGCGCCUAACACAUGCAAGUCGAACGGAAUCAAGAGGAGCUUGCUUUUCUUGAUUUAGUGGCGAACGGGUGAGUAACGCGUGAGUAACCUGCCCUGGAGUGGGGGACAACAGUUGGAAACGACUGCUAAUACCGCAUAAGCCCACGGAACCGCAUGGUUCUGAGGGAAAAGGAUUUGUUCGGUUCAGGAUGGACUCGCGUCCAAUUAGCUAGUUGGUGAGGUAACGGCCCACCAAGGCGACGAUUGGUAGCCGGACUGAGAGGUUGAACGGCCACAUUGGGACUGAGACACGGCCCAGACUCCUACGGGAGGCAGCAGUGGGGGAUAUUGCACAAUGGGGGAAACUCUGAUGCAGCGACGCCGCGUGGAGGAAGAAGGUUUUCGGAUUGUAAACUCCUGUCGUUAGGGACGAUAAUGACGGUACCUAACAAGAAAGCACCGACUAACUACGUGCCAGCCGCCGCAGUAA